rnacentral:rRNA from 1 species
GAUGAACGCUGGCGGCGUGCCUAAUACAUGCAAGUCGAGCGAACGGACGAGAAGCUUGCUUCUCUGAUGUUAGCGGCGGACGGGUGAGUAACACGUGGAUAGCCUACCUAUAAGACUGGGAUAACUUCGGGAAACCGGAGCUAAUACCGGAUAAUAUUUUGAACCGCAUGGUUCAAAAGUGAAAGACGGUCUUGCUGUCACUUAUAGAUGGAUCCGCGCUGCAUUAGCUAGUUGGUAAGGUAACGGCUUACCAAGGCAACGAUGCAUAGCCGACCUGAGAGGGUGAUCGGCCACACUGGAACUGAGACACGGUCCAGGCUCCUACGGGAGGCAGCAGUAGGGAAUCUUCCGCAAUGGGCGAAAGCCUGACGGAGCAACGCCGCGUGAGUGAUGAAGGUCUUCGGAUCGUAAAACUCUGUUAUUAGGGAAGAACAUAUGUGUAAGUAACUGUGCACAUCUUGACGGUACCUAAUCAGAAAGCCACGGCUAACUACGUG